CCAACUCUCACAUCCGUACAUGACCCCAGGAAAACCCACAACCUUGACUAGACGGACUGUAGUCGGCAAAGUAAUGUCUCUGCUUUUGAAUAUGCUUUCUAGGUUGGUCAUAACUUUUCUUCCAAGGAGUAAGCGUGUUUUAAUUUCAUGGCUGCAGUCACCAUCUGCAGUGAUUUUGGAGCCCCAAACAAUAAAGUCUGACACUAUUUCCACGGUUUCCCCAUCUAUCUCCCAUGAAGUGAUGGGACCGGAUGCCAUGAUCUUCGUUUUCUGAAUGUUGAGCUUGAAGCCAACUUUUUCACUCUCCACGUUCACUUUCAUCAACAGGCUUUUUAGUUCCUCUUCACUUUCUGCCAUAAGGGUGGUGUCAUCUGCAUGUCUGAGGUUAUUGAUAUUUCUCACGACAAUCUUGAUUCCAGCUUGUGUUUCUUGCAGU
ensembl:lncRNA